CCUACGGGGGGCAGCAGUGGGGAAUAUUGGGCAAUGGACGCAAGUCUGACCCAGCAACGCCGCGUGAAGGAAGAAGGCUCUAUGGUUGUUAACCUUUUUUUAGGGGGAAGAGCAGAAGACGGUACCCCUUGAAUAAGCCACGGCUAACUACGUGCCAGCAGCCGCGGUAAUACGGAGGUGUCCAGCGUUGUCCGGAUUUCCUGGGUGUAAGGGGCGUGCAGCCGGUGAGACAAGUCAGAUGUGAAAUCCACGGGCUCAACCCGUGAACUGCAGUUGAAACUGUUUGUCUUGAGUGUCGGAGAGGUAAUCGGAAUGCGUGGUGUAGCGGUGAAAUGCGGAGAUAUUAGGAAGAACACCGGUGGCGAAGGCGGAUUACUGGACGAUAACUGACGGUGAGGCGCGAAAGCGUGGGGAGCAAACAGGAUUAGAUACCCGAGUAGUC
rnacentral:rRNA from 1 species